UAAUUAUCAAUUUCAUAAUUU
rnacentral:piRNA from 1 species